UACAGAGGUCUCAAGCGUUGUUCGGAUUCAUUGGGCGUAAAGGGUGCGUAGGUGGUGAUGCAAGUCUGGUGUGAAAUCUCGGAGCUCAACUCCGAAAUUGCACCGGAUACUGCGUGACUCGAGGACUGUAGAGGAGAUCGGAAUUCACGGUGUAGCAGUGAAAUGCGUAGAUAUCGUGAGGAAGACCAGUUGCGAAGGCGGAUCUCUGGGCAGUUCCUGACACUGAGGUACGAAGGCCAGGGGAGCAAACGGG
rnacentral:rRNA from 1 species